AUUGAACGCUGGCGGCAGGCUUAACACAUGCAAGUCGAGCGGGGUGAUGGUGCUUGCACUAUCACUUAGCGGCGGACGGGUGAGUAAUGCUUAGGAAUCUGCCUAUUAGUGGGGGACAACAUCUCGAAAGGGAUGCUAAUACCGCAUACGUCCUACGGGAGAAAGCAGGGGAUCACUUGUGACCUUGCGCUAAUAGAUGAGCCUAAGUCGGAUUAGCUAGUUGGUGGGGUAAAGGCCUACCAAGGCGACGAUCUGUAGCGGGUCUGAGAGGAUGAUCCGCCACACGGGGACGGAGACACGGCCCAGACUCCUACGGGAGGCAGCAGUGGGGAAUAUUGGACAAGGGGGGGAACCCUGAUCCAGCCAUGCCGCGUGUGUGAAGAAGGCCUUAUGGUUGUAAAGCACUUUAAGCGAGGAGGAGGCUCUUUUGGUUAAUACCCAAGAUGAGUGGACGUUACUCGCAGAAUAAGCACCGGCUAACUCUGUGCCAGCCGCCGCGGUAA
rnacentral:rRNA from 1 species